rnacentral:sRNA from 1 species
UUAAAAAUGGUUAAUGUCUAUCAAUAAAUUGGGUGUCAAGGACCAAAGAAAUAAAAUAAAGAGAAGGGGGUGUUUAGCUCUCCAUUUAAAGAUAGCCCUGGUCGUGUCUUCUACAAAAUAAUU